GCUGACCCACUGUGCACCCAGAUUCAGUCACAGGAGGAUGCUGUUUUUGUCUGCCACAGAAACAUUCCAGGGUACUGUGACUACCUUGACCUGUCAAGGGUAAUGCAGCUGUUCAGGGACAUGGAA